UUCCCCACCAAUAAUCUUGGUUCUCAACAACGCAGGAAGGACACAAUUAGACCAUCUGACUCCCAUCCCCAUCUGUCAGGGUCUAACCCACUCAUCAAGGUCCAUGACCUCCAUGUCGCCAAAUCUAAUGGUCAGUCACCAGGUCCUCAUCAACGUGACCCAACAGCAGCAUGUGAUUCAAAGCAGCCACUCUCUCUGUGAAGCAUACUCGUCUCUUGGCUUCUAGGACAUCUCGCUCCCCUGCUAUCCUUCCGUUCCCCGAUGCCCUUCCUAGGCUCCUUCGCAGAGGCUUUCCAUCUCUGCAGCAUCCGCAUACCGGCUCAUCCCUCCGCAUCCACACUCAUUCCCCGUGUGAUCUCAUUGCGGAUUCAUCCGCCAGCCCGCCACAGCAGCCUGGACUUGUCCCCAAGCACUGGACUCCCGUGUCUCCUCCACGCCCCCCGUGGACAUCAUAAAACCAUCUCCGACUCAGGAUGUUCAAAGGGUGCACAGUUCAGAGACCCUAAGUGCACCCACAGCGUUGUGCGACCGCCCGUCUCCAGCACGUUUCCAUCUUCCCAGACUGAACUCGGUCCCCACGAUGCGCAAAGUCCCCAUCGCCCUCCGCCAGCCCCUCACGGCCACCGGUCUACUCUCCCUCCCCAUGAAUUCGACUCUUGCCUGUGCCACGGAAGCGGGAUCCUGCAGCAUUUCUGUGCACGUCGCUGGCUCAUUCCACUGAGCCCCACUGAACGCACGGGGGGUUCACCUGUCCUGGGCGGAACCGUAUCUCGCCGCGUGUACAUUUCACGCUUCCUUUCUCCCUCCGUCCGCGGUCAUUUCUACCUUCAGGCUGUUAGGAACAGAGCUGCGACGAACACGUGUGUACAAAUCCCCGUUUGAGUGUCCACUUUCAGUCCUCUGAGGUCUGCACCCGCGGAAGCAGGAUCGCUGGGCCAGACGUCUCAUCUCUUGGGUGACAAUCCUGUGGCCACCGGCGUCCACGGGGCGUCUGGCCUGAGGACCUCCCUCUGUGUGCGGUGGACUGCAGGCCCGGUUCCCUGGUGGACACUCCAGUGACUUUGAACCCAUCAGCCUCGUCUUCCCCGCUACCUCUCGGUGCCACUAGAUGGCGUGGGAGAGAAGUUCAGCCUCGUGUGAUGAAGGAAACUUCCAGGAGAUCGUGACCCCAGAGCCUUCAGGAGGCCAACCUGGAAUUAGGACAAUGAAGGGUGACCCCGGACAGCAGGAACUGUGUGGUCUUGUGGGAUUGUGGAGCACAAGGGUCAAGAGAGAGAAUUCCUGAGCUGCUGUACGAUGACGCUUAGUGAGAUUACUGGAGUCGCCUGGGGCCAGGACCCAAGCACAGAAAGAGCGGCACUUUGGCUGCAUGAAGCUGCUAGUCAUCUGCUUCGUCGGGCUCAGGGGGCAGGGGACGCGCAGGGAGUAUUAGGUCAUAAAUGUCUUUCUUCGGCUUUCUGCUCGUGAAACCACUUUCAUGAGAUUUCUCUGGUGCUUGUCAUUCAGCUCAGUAUGGGCGGUCGGUGAGCUGGACAAGAGUCAUGAGACCCUUAGGAAUGCAGCGAUCGGGGAGUAUUUGAUCCUUAUCACAGCGCUGUGGGCUCUAGGUCAGCCUUCUGGGCGAAAGAAGCCCCAGCUCUAAAUACAGCCACACGAGCCAUCAGGGCUUCAGGAUACAGAUUCAGGAGGGAUGCGAGCCUUCCAUAGCACCAUCUCCCCUGGUGGGGGCAAGGCCCCCCAUCUUACAGCCCAGAGGACCAAGCCCCGGCGGUUGAGGGCAGAGGAUCCAGAAGACUUUCCUGACCCCCUCCGCUCUUGGAAUGACCUCCUCCCUACUCUGCCCGUGCAUUUAUCAGCCCACAUGCUCACCCUUUGUGAAUGAACUUUCUUUCUCUUUUAAAAAUUGUAUUGAAACCAAACUCAUCAUAUUUUAUACAUUGACUAUGUACAGUUUUUAGCAGAUCGAUCAGAUCCCCAGAGAGCCGUGUGAAGAACUCUAUUGCCAUCUUUUGUUUGCUUUUCUUCCUCUUCUCUUGUGGCUUUAUACGUUUUCCUGCAGUCCCAUUCCUGAGGUGUGCUUUACAUGCAGUAAGCUGCGCCCCUUUAAACAAUAGAAUUCGGUUGAGUUCCGCGGUGUUUCCGCUUCUGAGAAUUGCCACGGCAGCGACGAUGCAGACAUUGUCGUCACCCCAGUUCUCCUGGAUCCCCCCCACGUUCCUGUCCUCUCUGCCUCCUCUUCCCCAGGGCCUCUGCCCUCCCCCAGACACUAGUUUGCAUUUUGUAGGGUUGCAUACAAAUGGACUCGGGGCAUCAACUCUUUUGCAUCUGGCUUCAGGCAUCAGCCUAAGGAUCUUGAGAUUCCCGUCUUUGUGUGUGUCAGUAAUUAACUUCCUUUUAGCUUCUGCGUACUAUUGUAGGGCACGGUGUACCGACUUCUGCCUAUCCAUGUCCCCUUUGUUGUUUCACUUGGGUUUUCAGUGUGGGGCGAUCCGUGAGUGAAGCUGCUAGGAGCAUUUGUGUGCAAGUCUUUGCCCGGGCAGAAGCCUUCGCUUCCCUCGAGUUUAUGCCCGGAAGUGACAUUCCUGAGUUGUAUUGGAUGGUAGGUGUGUGUCUCUCCCUUUUCCAGAUACUGUGGUUUCCUUCGUGAUUGGAGCAUCUGCCCUGCCCCCCCGAGCAGCACAGAACUCACACUUCCAGUGAUUCAGGUCAGCUCCGUUCCCGCCACCACUUGGUGCCUGAUUAGAUAAACAGUCCAGCCCUUCCCUUUGCAUGUGGGGGUGUCUCGUGGUGGUUUCAGUCUGCGUUUCCCCGAUGACUGCUGGUGUGGACCCUCUCUCCGCGUGUUCAUUCGGGUGGGUUCUCUGGUGAAGUUGCGAGCACACGCCCAAUCCCGUUAGCCAGGUACAUCUCCUCCUUCAGUCCCCAGGACAGGGGUGUGAGUACAAUGGUCUUUUUUAUUGGAUCAUGAUUUAUCCAUCACCCGAUUAGAAAGUUCUCAGACAUAGGAGCGGGUUCUAUUCUCCCCUGUGCACGCCUUCCUUGCUCUGCCCAGCACAGCGGGCCAGGAAGGAAACCAGGGAAAUUGUUCAGCUCCGUGGGAAGACCGCAGUUCCCAGCUGACCCUCCCCAGAAGAGUGGAGCCCUCUGUGGCACGAAGGGCUUGCUCUAAACUCCUGGUAACGAGCAGACAAAUUAAGAAGAUCUCCUUCUUUCCACUGAGAUGAGCACGUAAAUUAACGAGUGCCAUUCCGAACUCCCCACUUCUCAGCAAAGAUCAAACAAGAAAAAGAAGAAGCUGUCAGGAGGCGCAUGGGCAGGAGGGUCUGGAAGGGAAUGAGGACUGCCUGUUGUUGUUGUGUCUCGAAGUCUAAUAAGCCGUGGCUCUAUUAACAUGGGAGAGGCCUGGGGUGGUGACACCGUAGGGCCGCAGGUUGAGUUCCAUGAUUAAUUUCUAAGAACAUUUCUAAUGGUGCUAACCCAGUGACCCCAACGCCAUCACCCGGCAUCACGAGGAAAUGCUGUUUUUGCUGUAAAUUAAUUUUCUAAAUAACCGAGAAAUACUCCUUUGUGGGCUAAAACCCUUCUUCCAUGUUAACUUUUUACAUGAACACUAUUCUAAAGCAGAAGAUAUGGGGCGCCUGGGUGGCUCAG